rnacentral:lncRNA from 1 species
UUUUUUUUUUUGCCACCACGUGUACAGUAAAGAAACAGGCAACACGGUGCUGACCACAUAGAGAACUCAUCUGCAUAAUAAAAGAUUAAGGUGGGGGUAGCCAGCCUUUUCAUACCCUAUAAAUGGCACACCUGGUCCAACCAAAUCUUUCCUGCCCUAUGUAAAUCAGGCACUGCCUCCUCAAGCUCACCUAUAAAACUCUCUGCAUUCCACUGGGGAACCAGCAACCCAUGUCUCUGGGACCUCUUUUUGCUGCUGAGAGCUCUUCUCUUUCUUUCACCUAUUAAACUGCCACUCUGAACCUCACUGUUUUGUUUUCUGUGGCCAUGAGACAACGAAUCUCAGGCACACUUUAAAAGGAAGCGAUAAGAAGAAAGGAAA